rnacentral:tRNA from 1 species
ACGAGUAUGCCGAAAUGGUAGCCGGGUGGGUUUUAGGUGCUCAUAAUUUUAUUGUAAGAGUUCAAGUCUCUUUACUCGUA